AAUAAGUGCAGUUUUGUACUAUUCAUGUUCAAUAUUUGACUGUUCGUCUUGUUUGAAAAAAUUUUAUGAUUAGUAUUUUUAUUGUUAUUAGAUGAUAAAACAUGAAUAGUACUUUAUGUGUGACUAAAUAUUUUCAAAUUUUUUAAAUAAGACGGACGGUCAAACGUUGGGCACAGAUAUCCACGGCUGCACUUAUU
rfam:Oryza sativa Japonica Group DNA, chromosome 10, cultivar: Nipponbare, complete sequence.